rnacentral:rRNA from 1 species
CACGUAGGCGGACUGGAAAGUUGGAGGUGAAAUCCCAGGGCUCAACCUUGGAACUGCCUUCAAAACUAUCAGUCUGGAGUUCGAGAGAGGUGAGUGGAAUUCCGAGUGUAGAGGUGAAAUUCGUAGAUAUUCGGAGGAACAGCAGUGGCGAAGGCGGCUCACUGGCUCGAUACUGACGCUGAGGUGCGAAAGUGUGGGGAGCAAACA